GACGAACGCUGGCGGCGUGCUUAACACACGCCAGUCGAACGGAAAGGCCCUGCUUUUGUGGGGUGCUCGAGUGGCGAACGGGUGAGUAACACGUGAGUAACCUGCCCUUGACUUUGGGAUAACUUCAGGAAACUGGGGCUAAUACCGGAUAGGAGCUCCUGCUGCAUGGUGGGGGUUGGAAAGUUUCGGCGGUUGGGGAUGGACUCGCGGCUUAUCAGCUUGUUGGUGGGGUAGUGGCUUACCAAGGCUUUGACGGGUAGCCGGCCUGAGAGGGUGACCGGCCACAUUGGGACUGAGAUACGGCCCAGACUCCUACGGGAGGCAGCAGUGGGGAAUAUUGCACAAUGGGCGGAAGCCUGAUGCAGCAACGCCGCGUGCGGGAGGACGGCCUUCGGGUGGUAAACCGCUUUCGCCUGUGACGAAGCGUGAGUGACGGGAAUGGGGAAAGAAGCACCGGCUAACUACGU
rnacentral:rRNA from 1 species